AUGCGAGACUUCGGUGCAAACGCUUGGGGAAGAUGCUCAACAGGUUCUAAUUUACAUCUUGACGCCAAGAAAUCACGAAAAUACGGAGAAUCAAGAAAGUUCGGUGCUUACCUUCGACGCCUUCGGAGAUGCGAAACAGCGAAAACCAGAGAUGAGGCUCCUACGCUGAUUACAAAAGAUGUAAUAGCGAAGAUGAAGAUGAAGGGAAGAUGCAAAAGCGGUUAUUGUUGA